rnacentral:rRNA from 1 species
CACGCCGUAAACGAUGAAUACUAGGUGUGGGGGGACUGACCCCCUCCGUGCCGGAGUUAACACAAUAAGUAUUCCACCUGGGGAGUACGGCCGCAAGGUUGAAACUCAAAGGAAUUGACGGGGGCCCGCACAAGCAGUGGAUUAUGUGGUUUAAUUCGAAGCAACGCGAAGAACCUUACCAGGGUUUGACAUCCAACUAACGAAGCAGAGAUGCAUGAGGUGCCCUUCGGGGAAAGUGGAGACAGGUGG